rnacentral:tRNA from 1 species
AGCCUCGUAGCUCAGUUGGCUAGAGCGUUGGCUUUACUAAAGCUUUCCAUUUACUGGCGUGAGUUUGCCUCCCAUCGAGGCUG